rnacentral:rRNA from 1 species
CCUACGGGUGGCAGCAGUAGGGAAUCUUCCACAAUGGACGGAAGUCUGAUGGAGCAACGCCGCGUGAGUGAAGACGGGUUUCUGCUCGUUAAGCUCUGUUGGUAGUGAGGAAAGAUAGAGGUAGUAACUGGCCUUUAUUUGACGGUACUUACUUAGAAAGUCACGGCUAACUACGUGCCAGCAGCCGCGGUAAUACGUAGGUGGCAAGCGUUGUCCGGUUUUAUUGGGCGUAAAGCGAGUGCAGGCGGUUCAAUAAGUCUGAUGUGAAAGCCCUCGGCUCAACCGGUGAAUUGCAUCAAAAACUGUUGAACUGGAGAGUAGAAGCGGAGGGCGGAAUGCAAUGUGUAGCGGUGGAAUGCGUAGAGAU